rfam:Schistosoma rodhaini strain Burundi genome assembly, scaffold: SROB_scaffold0007187
CUGCCAGUGAGGAGUCCCACAAUAGGACGAAACGGCCGUCCAGUAU